UCUAUGCCUGCAACCUAACCUUCUCUCCACCAAAACUCCAUGAAACUCCUUCGCUAAAACUCCUCUACCAACACUCCUUUGCGAAAACUCCUUCGCCGCCCGCACCUCGACCACUACUCCGCGCCAACCGCAACCUAGCGGCCUCCGCCACUCCUCCGUGCUAGUGACCUAGCUUCCUCCACCACUCCUCGUUGCCCACGACCUAGCCUCUACCACUCAUCCGCGCCGCUCACGACCUAGCCUCCUCUGCCACUCCUCCGCGUCGUCUGUGACCCAAUCCCUAACCCUUCAAAGCCAUCAAAGCUUUCAUGCCUCGUCCGAUGUUGUCGUUCCUAUCACUUAGGGUUGUCUGGUUGUGCGGCCAGUAGCCAAUCCUUUCCUUCGUCGGGUUAGCAGCAAGGCUGCAGAGCUACUCAAGCAUCCACAUCUUCAUCCGUACGUUCUUCAAGACAAUCUAAAGUGUAGCCCUUCACAGGCAUGCUUCAAUUACAAUCACAAAAUCAGAUUUAAAGAUGACAAAACUGAUCUACAAACUUAGUGACAUUGGUUCAAUUACCUUUUCUUUACCCCUUUUAAGCUUGUAUUAAAUUUUAUGGACAACACUAAUACACUUGAGUUUGUUGAUAUUAAUUAAUUUUUCCCUGUGUAAUUAUAUAAGGUAAACUCAAGAGGCAUUGAGAUCUUCAAGAAAAGUUGGUUUCCAGAACAUUGUAGAUUAAAGGGUCUUGUUUGUUUUUGUCAUGGCUAUAGAGACACUUGUACAUUUUCUUUUUGAAGGGAUUUCAAAGAAGAUAGCAUCAGCUGGAUAUGGAGUCAUUGCAAUGGAUUGCCCUGGAUUUGGCCUUUCUGAAGGAAUGCAUGGAUAUAUACCAAGUUUUGAUUUACUAAAAGCGUAUAAUUCCAUGAGUUUGCUUAUUGUUUAAUAUUGUUAGCUUAUUGCUUUUGUUAAAUUUAUUUAUUAGGUUUAAUGUAUUGAUUAUUUGAGUUACUUUAUCUUAAU